rnacentral:lncRNA from 10 species
UCCACAUAUUUUCCCUUUUUAUUUGGACAGGAACUGACCUCUUUAUAUAUGUGUGCAGACACAAACAGAUACACACACAUGCACAUAUAAAAUUUUCACUUUAGGGAGGACUGAAGGUGAGCUUGGCCUGUAGCUACUAAGAAUUGAAUUCUCUUUCCAUUUCUUGCUUCCACAGGGAGCCUGGGGUCUCCCUCCCAUCAGUGUGGGUCAUGCUUUCCCUUCACAGACAUAUUUCUUCCAGUUUGGUGUGAUGGAAACAGCUCUGGUUGUAAAUAUUAGCUGGGAGUAGGUUUAGCUGGAAGUAACAGCAGCAAAACCCUGAGGGACAAGUGACUUCAACCCAACAAGAGCUUAUUUCUCCUCCCAGGAAGGAGCGCAGAGCAGGAGGGCCGGGGCCAGUCCACAUACCUUCUCUUCUCUUGCACUCACAAAAGUUCAGGAACAUGACAUCAACCAGGUGAUCACAGGGUACAGCCAGACACACAAAUAUAACUAGCACCAGUCAGUGCUCUGGGCUGAAUGGUGUCCCGCAAAUUCACAGGUUGAAGCCUUAACCCCCAGUACCUCAGAUUGCCCUUAUCUGGAAAUAAGGUCAUUGUGAUGUAAUUAAGGUACGAUGUGGUCAUUCUCACAUAGGGUGUGGGUCCUAGUCCAAUAUGGCUGGACACAGAGAAGAGGCCCUGGGGAGUGACUGUGUGAGGACUGCAGUGGUGCUGCCCAGCCAGGGAACCCCAGAAGCCUUAGAGACAUGGGGAUAGAUCCUCCCUGGUGCCCUCAGAGAGACCAUGACCCUGCCAGCACCUUGAUCUCAGGCUUCUGGCUUCCAAAACUGUAAGAGGACACGUUUCUGUUGUUC